AUUGAACGCUGGCGGCAGGCCUUACACAUGCACGUCGAGCGGAGCUGCGGACGGGUGAGUAAUGCCAAGGAAUCUGCCUGGUAGUGGGGGAUCACGUCCGGAAACGGGCGCUAAUACCGCAUACUAUCAGAUGAGCCUAGGUCGGAUUAGCUAGUUGGUGGGGUAAAGGCAUACCAAGGCGACGAUCCGGAACUGGUUUUAGAGUAUGAUCAGUCACACUGGAACUGGGACACGGUCCAGACUCCUACGGGAGGCAGCAGUGGGGAAUAUUGGACAAUGGGCGAAAGCCUGAUCCAGCCAUGCCGCGUGGGUGAAGAAGGUCUUCGGAUUGUAAAGCACUUUAAGUUGGGAGGCGUUACCAACAGAAUAAGCACCGGCUAACUUCGUGCCAGCCGCCGCGGUAAUAC
rnacentral:rRNA from 1 species